GUAUCUAACGAGUAAUUGUCUAGGAUAUUGCGUUUAGUUACAAUUCACUUCUCGAGCGGUACAGAACAUUGCUUGUAAGACUAGAAUGUUACUGAAAAAUAAGACUGCUAUAAUAACUGGAGGUGCGAGUGGCAUUGGAUUUGCAACAGCAGAAGAAUUACUCAAACAUGGUGUUUCGAAGAUUCUCCUUAUUGAUUUGAACGAAAGCUUGAACCCAGAUUUGAAAGCCCAACUGAAUGCAUGUAACCAGAAUGCCGAGAUAUUUUACGCCCAGUGUGAUGUAUCGAAUAAGUUGCAACUUGAAAAGAUACUGCGUCAGGAUGCUAUCCAAUGGCUAGGAUCGAUCGACAUUCUAGUGAAUUCGGCUGGAGUACUAGAAGGUUCCGCAGCGCACUGCAUUGGAGUCAACCUAAUUGGAUUGAUUGAAUGUACGUUCAUCACGAUUGACCUUAUGACGAAGGAGAAAUCAGGAACGGGUGGAUUUAUAGUGAAUAUUUCGUCAAUUGCCGGAUUGGAACCGUACCCUAUUGCCGUUGUUUACACGGCUUCCAAAUUUGGAGUAACCGGAUUCACCAGAAGUUUGGGGACCGAUUUGCUGUAUAAUAGAACAGGUGUAAAGUUAGCUGUUGUUUGUCCUGGGGCUACUGAAACAAAAAUGAUCCAAGAAGCAGGAGAUCAUAUGUGUACAUACCCUUGGAUGAUGCCUGCUGCUCGAGAGUUACUAGCCAAGUUUACUAUGCAACAACCAAGUGCGGUUGGAAAGUGUGUUGUGAAGGCAAUCACCGAAGGUGAGACGGGAUCAAUCUGGGUAGCAUCAGAAGAUAAAAUAAUUCCAAUACAAACCGAGCAGUGUAAAUUCAAAUUUUAACGAAAGUUGUCUACGUAUCUUCAGUUGCCAUUCUCGACAGUUUCGAAACCACGAGCUGUACACUGAAAAAUAUGAAUCCUUCGUGAUUUGAGAAAGCACGGCUCUUUUUGAAUUUUAUCAGAAAAUUCACUUUCGACAUAGGGUAUCGGCUUUAUUAUCGUCAGGUUUUACUUAUUAUAGUCCAGGGAGUAAAUGAUGUCCUAGAGCGUUAAUGUUUUUGCAAAAUAAUUUUUAAGGGAAAUUCAACUCUUUUGAGUAUUAAUAUGAUUUUUUUUUCUUCAAUUCCGGAUAUUAUUUACAUUUGUGACAUUUUUCUUUUUGUCGAUUCUAUCUAGAAAUGCCAAAUUUCAUGC